rnacentral:rRNA from 1 species
AUUGAACGCUGGCGGCACGCCUAACACAUGCAAGUCGAGCGGCAGCAUGCUUAGUAGCAAUACUAAGUGAUGGCGAACGGCGGACGGGUGAGGAACACGUAGGAACCUGCCCAAGAGAGGGGGAUAACUAAGGGAAACUUUAGCUAAUACCGCAUAAUCUCUGGCGAGAAAAGUUGCCCGUAAGGGUAGCGCUUUUGGAGGGGCCUGCGUCCGAUUAGUUAGUUGGUGAGGUAAUGGCUCACCAAGACGAUGAGCGGUAACUGGUCUGAGAGGACGACCAGUCACACUGGGACUGAGACACGGCCCAGACUCCUACGGGAGGCAGCAGUGGGGAAUUUUGGACAAUGGGGGCAACCCUGAUCCAGCGAUGCCGCGUGGGUGAAGAAGGCCUUCGGGUUGUAAAGCCCUUUAGGCUGGGAAGAAGAGUAUGGGAUGAAUAAUCCUGUAUUUUGACGGUACCAGCAGAAUAAGCACCGGCAAACUCUGUGCCAGCAGCCGCAGUAACAC